rnacentral:rRNA from 1 species
GUGAGGAAUAUUGCGCAAUGGGGGAAACCCUGACGCAGCGACGCCGCGUGGGUGAUGAAGGCCUUCGGGUUGUAAAGCCCUGUCAGGUGGGAAGAAGUGCAUUUUGGAUAAUACCCAGAGUGUUUGACGGUACCACCAGAGGAAGCACCGGCUAACUCCGUGCCAGCAGCCGCGGUAAUACGGAGGGUGCAAGCGUUGUUCGGAAUCACUGGGCGUAAAGGGCGCGUAGGCGGCACGGCAAGUCAGAUGUGAAAUCCCAUGGCUCAACUGUGAGAAGUGCAUCUGAAACUGCCGCGCUUGAGUACCGGAGGGGAAGGUGGAAUUCCCGGUGUAGAGGUGAAAUUCGUAGAGAUCGGGAGGAAUACCGGUGGCGAAGGCGACCUUCUGGACGGAUACUGACGCUGAGGCGCGAAAGCGUGGGGAGCAAACAGGAUUAGAAACCCGUGUAGUCC